AAUAUUUCAUUUUACAUGAAUAUGUGAUUCAAAUGACAGCUCUUAUUAGUCCCUAUGCAAACCAUUUUUAUAUUUCUUUAUUUACAAGCUCUGAAUUAAAUGGUAAAAAAUACACAUUACAGUAAACAACAAUCUUCAUCAACAUUCUAUUUAUGCUAUUUAGACGAGGGCGGAAUAUAGAUGCUCGUUAUAUGACCCGCUUCACUAAUAAAGUGUAAAGUUUAAAGCCAUAUGCCCCUAUAAUAUAUCUGAUCAGUUUGAGAUAGAAAAAGUGGAAUACAAACCAAAUCGACCCAUCUUCACAUUCAUAAGUAAAUGGGUUGAAAUUGCCCUCCUUCAUUCUCACAAUGAAAUUUUGUGUACAAGAUGAUAUAAUAUGGUAUCAAGGCAACAGGCUUUUUUAUGCAAUUUUAGUUCUAUUAGUUUCACUUCAACUUGAAAUUCUUUUUUAUAUGACUAAACUGCUCUGCUGCCUAUCAAAAUAUGCAGAGUCCGUUGGUAAAAUGCUACCUUUACAUGUAGAUAGAUAGAUAUGGAGUAAGGACGAAAGCUGGUAAGAAGCAAUCAUCAGAAGAUGCUGUUGUCAAAAAAAUGCACAUUCUGCAGGAGCUUGAAUUCGACGGCACAAUGAACUUGCCUUAAAUAAGUGUAUAUUUUCAGGCAACAACACCGGAAGCUUGUAGGCUUUACGUCAUGAUUACUCUAUGAAGGUGAUUAUUAGCACUUGUUUUGUUCUGAAGCAAACAUAUCUCAUGCAUUCACAUUUUGUAAGAAUGUCAUGAUUACCUGGCUAUGCAAGAUGUUUAUGCCUGGAGAUUAGCAUAGCAGCACUCUGGAUUUUGGAAGGUUAUAUCAUUCCCCGUUGAUGCAGUGACAGAUACAUAUGGAACAUUUCUACCUGAUGGAACAGCUUUACAGCUUCAGCAGAUUCUGAGCUUAAGUGUUUUAGAGGAUUCCCGAAUCACCUCUUGCGACACAAGCAGUCCAGGUGGUGACAGCAACGGUGCCGCAUCCCAAAGCCAGUACGCCAAAGGAGAUGUUCUUACCAGAGCCUAGAAAAGACGCAAUAUCUUCAUGCAACUUUAAAUGAACUGUUCCAAUGGUAUGCAAUUGCAAUCUCAGAUAUCGCAAUCUCUCAUACCUUGUCUUAACCGGACCUUUGACUAAUCAAAAUGGUUACUUAGGCUAAAGGUUGUGGUCAUGACCCUCCACAUAGGCGUCAUGUCACCCACCUCUAAUCCACCAUCCAAAACCACUACCCUAAGGGUGUGGUCAUGACCCAAACCAUUAUCCCUCUUUAUUAUUUUAAUAUAUUUUUGUCUCAGAGUUAUCAAAUAGAGGGUGUCUCUCAUGGAGCAUAGACCGAACAAGUUACUAUAGGACUGGUUUAGUCACCAUUCGAACUGGUCUCUUUUGAUUUAAGUGCAUUUAACCGGCCGUCUCUGUUGGUUUUUACACACUAUUUUUCACCCUCUUAUAUAGUCAUAUAUAGUCAAAUUACCAAAUUACACUUUGUUUGGAGUAACAACCACUUUUUACUUUUAUAAACUCAAAAGUUCCUAUGUAAGUUCUAACAACAAAGUCGAUUAACCCAACUUAAGUAACAAUUAUCCCUACUGUAUUAUCAUAAGAUGAUAUAUCAUGAAGUGAAAUCGUGUUGAAUUUUAACAGUUUAGGUCGACAAAUAUUAUUAGUGACCGAUCAUCAAAUAUA